GUGGGGAAUUUUGGACAAUGGGCGCAAGCCUGAUCCAGCAAUGCCGCGUGCAGGAAGAAGGCCUUCGGGUUGUAAACUGCUUUUGUACGGAAAGAAACGGUCCUGGUUAAUACCUGGGGCUAAUGACGGUACCGUAAGAAUAAGCACCGCCUAACUACGUGCCAGCAGCCGCGGUAAUACGUAGGGUGCAAGCGUUAAUCGGAAUUACUGGGCGUAAAGCGUGCGCAGGUGGUUUUGUAAGACAGGCGUGAAAUCCCCGGGCUCAACCUGGGAAUUGCGCUUGGGACUGCAAGGCUGGAGUGCGGCAGAGGGGGAUGGAAUGCCGCGUGUAGCAGUGAAAUGCGUAGAUAUGCGGAGGAACACCGAUGGCGAAGGCAAUCCCCUGGGCCUGCACUGACGCUCAUGCACGAAAGCGUGGGGAGCAAACAGGAUUAGAAACCCGAGUAGUCC
rnacentral:rRNA from 1 species